rnacentral:rRNA from 1 species
GCAAAACGCGAAGAACCUUACCUGGUCUUGACAUGCAUCUUGUCGCUGGUGAAAGCCAGCUAGGUUAGCAAUAAUCGAUUUGCACAGGUGCUGCAUGGCUGUCGUCAGCUCGUGUCGUGAGAUGUUGGGUUAAGUCCCGCAGCGAGCGCAACCCCUGUGGUUUGUUGCCACCCGGUUUACCGGAGCACUCGAACCAGACUGCCUCGAUCAACGAGGAGGAAGGUGGGGAUGACGUCAAGUCCGUAUGGCCCUUACGACCAGGGCUGCACACGUACUACAAUGCCCAGCACAAUGUGAACCGAUACCGCGAGGUGGAGGAAAUCAGUAAAACUGGGCUCAGUUCAGAUUGGAGUCUGCAACUCGACUCCAUGAAGUUGGAAUCGCUAGUAAUGGUGCAUCAGCUACGGCACCGUGAAUACGUUCCCGGGUCUUGUACACACCG